GAGGGUAUAACUCAGUGGUAGAGCGUGUGCUUAGCAUGCACAAGGUCCAGGGUUCAACCCCCGGUACCCCCA
rnacentral:tRNA from 1 species